UACGAAGGGAGCUAGCGUUGUUCGGAAUCACUGGGCGUAAAGCGCACGUAGGCGGAUGUGUCAGUCAGGGGUGAAAUCCCGGAGCUCAACUUCGGAACUGCCCUUGAUACAGCACGUCUUGAGUCCGGAAGAGGUGGGUGGAAUUCCUAGUGUAGAGGUGAAAUUCGUAGAUAUUAGGAAGAACACCGGUGGCGAAGGCGGCCCACUGGACCGAGACUGACGCUGAGGCGCGAAAGCGUGGGGAGCGAACAGG
rnacentral:rRNA from 1 species